rnacentral:rRNA from 1 species
GACGAACGCUGGCGGCGUGCUUAACACAUGCAAGUCGAACGGAAAGGCCCUGCUUUUGUGGGGUGCUCGAGUGGCGAACGGGUGAGUAACACGUGAGUAGCCUGCCCUUGACUUUGGGAUAACUUCAGGAAACUGGGGCUAAUACCGGAUAGGAGCUCCUGCUGCAUGGUGGGGGUUGGAAAGUUUCGGCGGUUGGGGAUGGACUCGCGGCUUAUCAGCUUGUUGGUGGGGUAGUGGCUUACCAAGGCUUUGACGGGUAGCCGGCCUGAGAGGGUGACCGGCUACAUUGGGACUGAGAUACGGCCCAGACUCCUACGGGAGGCAGCAGUGGGGAAUAUUGCACAAUGGGCGGAAGCCUGAUGCAGCAACGCCGCGUGCGGGAUGACGGCCUUCGGGUUGUAAACCGCUUUCGCCUGUGACGAAGCGUGAGUGACGGUAAUGGGUAAAGAAGCACCGGCUAACUACGUG